GUUACUUCGGUACAUCGGUGACAGGUGGUGCAUGGUUGUCGUCAGCUCGUGUCGUGAGAUGUGGGUUAAGUCCCGCAACGAGCGCAACCCCGCCGUUAGUUGCCAGCGGUUCGGCCGGGCACUCUAACGGGACUGCCCGCGAAAGCGGGAGGAAGGAGGGGACGACGUCUGGUCAGCAUGGCCCUUACGGCCUGGGCGACACACGUGCUACAAUGCCCACUACAAAGCGAUGCCACCCGGCAACGGGGAGCUAAUCGCAAAAAGGUGGGCCCAGUUCGGAUUGGGGUCUGCAACCCGACCCCAUGAAGCCGGAAUCGCUAGUAAUCGCGGAUCAGCCAUGCCGCGGUGAAUACGUUCCCGGGCCUU
rnacentral:rRNA from 1 species